rnacentral:tRNA from 1 species
CCGUAGCUCAGCUGGAUUAGAGCAAUGGCCUUCUAAGCCAUGGGUCGGGGGUUCGAAUCCCUCCGGG